rnacentral:rRNA from 1 species
AGCAGCCGCGGUAAUUCCAGCUCCAAUAGCGUAUAUUAAAGUUGUUGCAGUUAAAAAGCUCGUAGUUGAACUUCAGGCCUGGCUGGGCGGUCCGCCUUCCGGGCGAGUACUGCCUGUGGUCGGGUCCUACCUUCUGGCGAAGCGUCAUGGCCUUAACCGGCCGUGGCGGGGAACCAGGACUUUUACUGUGAAAAAUUAGAGUGUUCAAAGCAGGCACGCGCUUGAACACAUUAGCAUGGAAUAAUGGAAUAGGACAGUGGUUCUAUUUGUUGGUUUCUAGGACCGUUGUAAUGAUUAAUAGGGAUAGUUGGGGGCAUUAGUAUUCAAUUGUCAGAGGUGAAAUUCUUGGAUUUAUUGAAGACUAACUACUGCGAAAGCAUUUGCCAAGGAUGUUUUCAUUAAUCAAGAACGAAAGUUAGGGGAUCGAAGACGAUCAGAUACCGUCGUAGU